UGACUCACCGAAAAUACAAAAAUGCAUGGCGCAAAAUGUUUUUAAUGUAAAUGCAAUAUUUACGGAGAGAAAAAAAUAUUUAUGGUUUCAUUCAAGUAUAUAAUUUUCAUUAUAUCCCAUCCUGUAUAUUAGUAAUCUUGGUUUUAGUCCUGUAUAUUAGUAAUCUUGGUUUUAGUUAUAAGCUAUUGGACUGAAAAAAAAAAAACUUCGAGAAGUUAAAAUUAUUUUAUUUUAACUUUUAUUUAUUUAUUUUUUCCAAAUCAAUCAAGGGAAAAUGGUUAUUGAUGGAGCCUAUAACUAUGAUUACAUAGGUAAAACUGGGUUUUAUUUUCCUCAGCCUAACGACGCUUUGCCCAAAACAGUCGUUCAAAGCAGUUGCAAAAAAUAAGGGUUGAACACUUCAGAUAAUGAACCUUCCAACACCACUGCUCUGGAUAAUAACCUCAAUAUUUCUUAUCAAAUUGAUAAUGAAAUUAUUGAAUUUAAAGCUUUAUCUGAUAACGAUUCAGAUAAAAGUGAUAAGAAUAUUGUAAUAGAUGAACUAGAGGUGAUUUAGCAUUUUGAUCUUCUCAGCAUAAUAUCACACAAGAAUUCACUGAUUUAGUUUGCUGAUCUAUGACCAGAGUUGCUUAAAUAUUAAUGCAUCCUAAAAUUUUAUUUAAAUUUGUGUUUUUUAUGUAUUUAAAUAAAAUUCACUUUUUAUAUAUGUAUUUUUUAUGCUAUAUUUCAUAUGAUCUCAUUAUCAUUGUCAUCAUCCCCCAGCUUUAUUUUCCUUUAUUCUAUAUAUUUAUUGAACCUUAAUUAUAUUUCUUUAUAAUUUCUUUAUUUUUAAUUUGGUGUUGAGUAAAACAAGUACUUCACUAAGUUUUAAUUAUUAUUUGUUGACUAAAGUAUACACUUAUUAACUCCGUUAAUGUUUAGCCUUAAAAUUAUUUUUACUGAACAUCGUAAUAUCUCAAGGUAUUAUUUUGAAUUUCAUGUAUACUUUUUAAUGUAUACUUCAAGGUGUUUGUAAUAUACCAUAAAAAUUUCUAUAAACUAUAUUUUAACAUUAAACUUAUGUGUUUAGAGUACAGAAGUAACCUGAUAAAAAUUAUGAUAGUGACUCACAAGAUUUUAAAGAACAUCAAAAAUGAAAAAAGUUUUGUCUGCAGACACCUGUCUCUGUAUUAAACAAAAGUAAAGCAAGAUUGGAAAAAGUGAUCAUAAUUACCUCUGUGAUUAAGGUGAAGGGAGUAGCAGCAAAAAGAGAAGUAGCAAAAAAUUGAAUUGGACAGGGCAAGGUGAUCUUCAAAAAAAGUCUUUCCGAAUUCUUAAAUUUCGUUAAGUUAUUGAAAAAGCAAUACAAAGAAAUUUGCUGACAAAAGAUACCACAUACAGCGAAAUUUAAAAGGGAGUUGUGGCUUUUUUUUCUGGAGCUCCAGACAGAAAUAGAGGCAGAAAAAAAGGAGCAG